rnacentral:snRNA from 1 species
AUACUUAUCUGGACGGGGUCAAUGGGUGAUCAAGAAGGUCCAUGGCCUAGGUCAGUACUGACAUCCAUUGCACUUAGGAUGGGUGCUGGCUUAAGGUCUCCCCAAGUGGGAGAGUCCACGUCAAAAUUUUGUGGUAGAGGGGGCUGCGCAAGCCGCGGCCCCUG